rnacentral:rRNA from 1 species
UACUGAGCGGCGGACGGGUGAGUAACGCGUGGGUAACCUGCCUCAUACGGGGGGAUAACAGUUAGAAAUGGCUGCUAAUACCGCAUAAGACCACAGCACCGCAUGGUGCAGGGGUAAAAACUCCGGUGGUAUGAGAUGGACCCGCGUCUGAUUAGGUAGUUGGUGGGGUAACGGCCUACCAAGCCGACGAUCAGUAGCCGACCUGAGAGGGUGACCGGCCACAUUGGGACUGAGACACGGCCCAA